rnacentral:rRNA from 1 species
AGUGAACGCUGGCGGUAGGCCUAACACAUGCAAGUCGAACGGCAGCACAGUAAGAGCUUGCUCUUACGGGUGGCGAGUGGCGGACGGGUGAGGAAUACAUCGGAAUCUACUUUUUCGUGGGGGAUAACGUAGGGAAACUUACGCUAAUACCGCAUACGACCUACGGGUGAAAGCAGGGGAUCUUCGGACCUUGCGCGAUUGAAUGAGCCGAUGUCGGAUUAGCUAGUUGGCGGGGUAAAGGCCCACCAAGGCGACGAUCCGUAGCUGGUCUGAGAGGAUGAUCAGCCACACUGGAACUGAGACACGGUCCAGACUCCUACGGGAGGCAGCAGUGGGGAAUAUUGGACAGUGGGCGCAAGCCUGAUCCAGCCAUACCGCGUGGGUGAAGAAGGCCUGCGGGUUGUAAAGCCCUUUUGUUGGGAAAGAAAAGCAGCAGGUUAAUACCCCGCUGUUCUGACGGUACCCAAAGAAUAAGCACCGGCUAACUUCGU